rnacentral:other from 1 species
UAUCCCCUGCGGUGUUCGAGGAUAGAUCUGAAUAUUUCUUGAGCCAUACUAACGUCCAGGGAACUGCCUGUCGGCAUCAGUGUGCAUGUCCGCUCGACGGAAAGCCUGAGAUAUCGACCAAGUUCCCACCUGAACUUCUGGUUCAAGGACGACGAUCUGUUACGGCACAGGCGGGGGAUAC